GAUAAACGCUGGCGGCGCACAUAAGACAUGCAAGUUGAACGGACUUAAUCGAAAUAUUUAUAUUUUGAAGCGGUUAGUGGCGGACUGGUGAGUAACGCGUAAGGAACCUGCCUAUUAGAGGGGAAUAACAGUGAGAAAUCAUUGCUAAUACCGCAUAUGCCAUAGAUAUCACAUGAUAACAGUGGGAAAGGAGCAAUACGCUAAUAGAUGGCCUUGCGUCUGAUUAGAUAGUUGGUGGGGUAACGGCCUACCAAGUCGACGAUCAGUAGCCGGACUGAGAGGUUGAACGGCCACAUUGGGACUGAGAUACGGCCCAGACUCCUACGGGAGGCAGCAGUCGGGAAUAUUGCGCAAUGGAGGAAACGCUGACGCAGUGCCGCUGCGUAUAGGAAGAAGGUUUUCGGAUUGUAAACUAUUGUCGUUAGGGAAGAGAAAGGACAGUACCUAAGGAGGAAGCUCCGGCUAACUACGUG
rnacentral:rRNA from 1 species